rnacentral:lncRNA from 1 species
AUCACAAAGAUCCUGGAAUAUAUAAAUGUGUUGUCUGUGGAACUCCGUUGUUCAAGUCAGAAACCAAAUUUGACUCUGGUUCAGGCUGGCCUGCCUUCCAUGAUGUGAUCAGUUCGGAGGCCAUCGAGUUCACAGAUGACUUUUCCUACGGGAUGCACAGGGUGGAAACCAGCUGUUCUCAGUGUGGUGCUCAUCUCGGGCACAUUUUUGACGAUGGACCUCGUCCGACCGGCAAAAGAUACUGCAUCAACUCAGCAUCCUUGUCCUUCACUCCUGCAGACAGCAGUGAGGCAGAAGGAAGCGGCAUCAAAGAGAGCGGCAGCCCAGCAGCAGCAGACAGAGCUGAGCUGUAAAAUCAGGGGUAGCGGUGAAAACAAAGUGUUCUUAAUGCACAACUGAUUGAAAAAAACCAAAAAGUGGUUUAUCUUAACAGAGCUAUUUUUUCAGAAGCUAUAAGGGCAGUUUAUGCUGCUGAAAAUGUUUCUCUCUCUCUCUCUCUCUCUCUCUCUCUCUUUCUCUCUCUCUCGUCUAGAUGGCAGUUCUGCCCAUCCAUGUAUUUUGCUGUUGACUAGGUCCAGAACUGUGUGUAGCUCUUGCAAACGGAGAUGGCUUUGUGGAGCUUCUUGGUAAGCUUCUAUGUAGCCUUGGCAUCAUUUUCUUCCAAUGCAUACCUUCCUUCAAGUUUUGUCCUUGUAGGUACCCUCCUUUUGAUUAAGAGGUGGAGGUUGUGUAGUGACAUCAUAGAGCUGGUGCUCAGCAGCAGAGAGGAGAACUGGCAAGGACAGAGCAUCUAGACAUGUGGCCUUUGCGAUAAAGAUGGAGUGUUGUGUUAGAUUGCUAGGCUGCGAUAACGAUGGAGCGCUGCGUUAGAUUGCUAGGCUGCACGGAAAGUCUGAGCUAAGGUUGUUUUUUCUCACUCGAAGGGUGUGAAGGUCUGAAGUCGUUCCUUAUGUUACAUUGUUGCCAGAUGUGAGAGGACUCAGGGAAGGUUGCCGCAGAGAUGCAAAACAUUACCUCUGGGCAGGUCUUUAUUUUAUAUUUUCCACUGAAAACAGCAGAAUGUAAGACAAGUGUAAAAUACUAGGCUCCAUUUUUUUUUUUUUUUUGUCCAAAGUUCACAAAGAAGAAUGCUUGCCCAUUGCCUCUGCAUAAGCCUUUCUCUGCAUGCCUCAUGUGAACUCCAUCUGGACGAGCAUUUUAGAAGAUUUCCCCCGUGCAAAAUAAAAUAUUAGGGACAACACACUUCAUCAGUAGGAAAGAGAGAGAUCAGAGAAGACCUAGUAUGAAGUCUUGAGCACUAAAUAAUCCCAUGCUGUGCAAAAAGGCCAACAGGAUCUCACAGGUACUGCACCUAAACCAGACUUUCACAUAGCAUCAGAAGGUCGGAGCAAGGAUGUCGGGGAUUAAGACAGAAUAGUCAGGCCCAAGGUCCACACUUCACUGUGUGUACAAGGGACAAGCCAUUUAGCCCCAUUGUGCCUAUAUCUUCGUGUACACAAUAGGACUCAUAUCUUUAUAAAAUAUAUUGAUACUCUCAGGGCAACAUUACUAUAUUGCUGUACAAUUAAUAAGAUCAGUAUUUUAAAAUCACACUGAUCCGGUUGUAAUUGCACAGAGCAGGCCAAAUUUGCAAUGGAAGAAGCAGAGGUGCACUUGGCUGGUUGGUAUGGAAACAGCCGAAAGCCAGACCUUUAUCUUGUAGCAAUAUGGCAGGUGUCUCAGUAGUGAGCGUUGUGGUUUUUGAAUGCUAAUCCUGAAAUGUGGCUUUAAAAGACGCUUAGACUUCUAAAUUUUUUGAGGAAGACUGGCAUCUGCCCCUCGUACUCAGUAAUGAUGAUGAGAACAGGCGAGUGACAGUUGCAGACACAGUGGGAAGCAAUAAAAGCCGGGGCAAGCAAGCUGAGACUACCCAUAUCCAGCAGCUCUGCCUUUCUCAGGUACCUCCUGAAGGUCCUGCCAUCCUGCCGAGUCUUCAGUAUCACCCAGUUCUAGAGACGUCUGUGCUUUUAACUUGGAACACACAGGAAAAUUACCUAAGCACUGGGGUCCCCCCAGCUCCAGAUGUUUACCCCAAGCUCAGGGCUACUCUGCACACCCCGGGCUUCAUUCUUCUCUAGAAACAUGGGGAGAGUCCCGGGUGAGGCUUCCAGACUUCCAUAAAGUUUUCACAUCAUCUCGAAGGAUUCCAUGUAGGGUGGCUAAGGACAGACGUGGGUCUCACGGGAUAUUGUCACAGCUUGGCAUCCAUCCUUCGGAGACACACACAGCCCUUUCUGCCCACUCCCAUCUGUGUGGUGGCCUUCCCAGGGUCCCUUGGAUAUAAGCCAGAGUGUUGGAGUAG